rnacentral:rRNA from 1 species
UAGGGAAUCUUCCACAAUGGACGAAAGUCUGAUGGAGGCAACGCCGCGUGAGUGAAGAAGGUUUUCGGAUCGUAAAGCUCUGUUGUUGGUGAAGAAGGAUAGAGGCAGUAACUGGUCUUUAUUUGACGGUAAUCAACCAGAAAGUCACGGCUAACUACGUGCCAC